CCUACGGGUGGCAGCAGUGGGGAAUAUUGGGCAAUGGGCGAAAGCCUGACCCAGCAACGCCGCGUGAAGGAAGAAGGCUUUCGGGUUGUAAACUUCUUUUGACAGGGAAGAGCAGAAGACGGUACCUGUCGAAUAAGCCACGGCUAACUACGUGCCAGCAGCCGCGGUAAUACGUAGGUGGCAGGCGUUGUCCGGAUUUACUGGGUGUAAAGGGCGGGUAGCGGGGCGGAAAAGUCAGAGGUAAAAUCCGGGGCUCAACCCCCGAACUGCAUGUGAAACUGGUGGUCGUGAGUAUUGGAGAGGCAGGUGGAAUUCCUGGUGUAGCGGUGAAAUGCGUAGAUAUUAGGAGGAACACCAGUGGCGAAGGCGACCUGCUGGACGACAACUGACGCUGAGGCGCGAAAGCGUGGGGAGCAAACAGGAUUAGAUACCCCAGUAGUC
rnacentral:rRNA from 1 species